rnacentral:rRNA from 1 species
UACGGGGGGUGCGAGCGUUGUCCGGAUUCACUGGGCGUAAAGCGCGCGUAGGCGGGUUUGUAAGUCGAUUGUGAAAUCCCUGGGCUUAACCUGGGAACUGCAGUCGAAACUGCAAAUCUUGAAUGUCUGAGAGGAUGGCGGAAUAACCGGUGUAGUAGUGAAAUACGUAGAUAUCGGUUAGAACACCUGAGGCGAAGGCGGCUAUCUGGCGGCACAUUGACGCUGAGGCGCGAAAGCGUGGGAAGCAAACAGG